rnacentral:rRNA from 1 species
UUGGAAAAUGGAGCCGAAGAAGGACGUGACUACCUGCGAUAAGUCUGGGGGAGCUGGAAGUGAGCUUCGAUCCCGGAAUUUCCGAAUGGGGAAACCUGACAUGAUUUAUCUCAUGUUAUCUAUAAGUGAAUACAUAGCUUAUAAGAAGGGAACCUAGGGAACUGAAACAUCUUAGUACCUAGAGGAAAAGAAAAUAAUAAUGAUUCUGUUAGUAGCGGCGAGCGAAAGCGGAACAGGCCAAACCACUUUACGGAGUGGGGUUGUAGGACUUUUUUAAGAGUUAGAAAGUCAUUAUAUAAUAGAAGCUACUGGGAAGUAGCGCCAUAGAGGGUGAUAGCCCCGUAUAUGAAAUGUAAUGACCUCAAUAAAGUAUCCUGAGUACGGCGAAACACGUGAAAUUUUGUCGGAAUCUGCCAAGACCACUUGGUAAGCCUAAAUACUACCAUUUUACCGAUAGUGAACCAGUACCGUGAGGGAAAGGUGAAAAGCACCC